rnacentral:rRNA from 1 species
CUACGGGGCGCAGCAGUGGGGAAUAUUGCACAAUGGAGGAAACUCUGAUGCAGCAACGCCGCGUGGAGGAUGACACUUUUCGGAGCGUAAACUCCUUUUAUAUAGGAAGAAGAUGACGGUACUAUAUGAAUAAGCGCCGGUUAACUCCGUGCCAGCAGCCGCGGUGAAUACGGAGGGCGCAAGCGUUACUCGGAAUCACUGGUCGUAAAGAGCGUGUAGGCGGAUUAAAAAGUCAGAAGUGAAAUCCUAUAGCUUAACUAUAGAACUGCUUCUGAAACUCUUAAUCUAGAAUAUGGGAGAGGUAGAUGGAAUUUCUGGUGUAGGGGUAAAAUCCGUAGAGAUCAGAAGGAAUACCGAUUGCGAAGGCGAUCUACUAGAACAUUAUUGACGCUGAGACGCGAAAGCGUGGGGAGCAAACAGGAUUAGAUACCCGAGUAGUC